rnacentral:rRNA from 1 species
UACGUAGGGUGCAAGCGUUAAUCGGAAUUACUGGGCGUAAAGCGUGCGCAGGCGGUGAUGUAAGACAGUUGUGAAAUCCCCGGGCUCAACCUGGGAACUGCAUCUGUGACUGCAUUGCUGGAGUGCGGCAGAGGGGGAUGGAAUUCCGCGUGUAGCAGUGAAAUGCGUAGAUAUGCGGAGGAACACCGAUGGCGAAGGCAAUCCCCUGGGCCUGCACUGACGCUGAUGCACGAAAGCGUGGGGAGCAAACAGG